AUAGGCAAAGGCUGCAGGUCCUAACCUUGCCAAUGAUGAGUGGUCAUUGCAGUCUGCCCCAGUGAGCGGGGGCUAGAUGGUGAUGACUGGCUGUAGCCACUGAGGCAAGGUGGGGAUAGAGAGUUGGGGGGUUCCUUUGGGUGGGGAAACCCAGAUUUGUGGGUUACUGCAGUGGGCAGAACUCAAAGGGGCAUUGCCAGGGGGCAGCACCCCAAGGUGAAGAGGCACCAAGUCUGGGAGGAACAUGGGGGGGCCAGCAGCAGGUGAGAUGCUGGCCUGCGGAGGGCGUUCUAUAUCCCAGAUGACCAGCAGGAGAUGCCGCACCGAUGCACCUCCUGACCAGCAGCCUGACCUCCCCUGGACCAUGAGUCGCUACACCCAGCCCUUCCAAGGAGCUUCAUGCCUCAAGGGAAUAUCUACCAUACCUUCUGCUCCUUACCCCACCCUACCUUGUCCCUCUAAUAUCCUGGGACCAACCCAGCUACAACAACACUGAUAUAAAAUAAACACACAACCAGCUCCUUCAUGUACAGCAGAACCUGGAUUUCACAAGCUUACAAACAACCAGCUGCUAUGAGCCCAGAAUCAGGAUGCAUAAGCCAGGGCUGGGGAAGGUGGGAUGUACAGGAAAAAAAGUGUAUCGGCCUAGACAUCCAAACAUAGAAAUAGGAUUUGACAUGCAGAAUAGCUACAACUGGCACUUUGCACCUGUCUUAGGACAGCAAGGAAAGCAGAAAUUGUGAAGAACGUCAUGUAAGGCAAAUCCUCCUCCUGAUCUCUCUGGGCACAGUGUGAGGUGGAGUGAGUGAAGCCAACAGAUGUGCUAAAUCCACAGCCAGGUGCCAGUGCAGCAAUUUCCAGUGGUUUGCCUGCCCAGCCGUUUGCCUCACCAAUCAUAUAUUGAGAGAACCUUCUUCCUCCUUCUCCUCUUCUCUCUACCCCUCAUCCAGGUUUUAAUGAAAAGACUGAAAAUAGAGCAUCCCUGAAAUCAUAAUCCUCCAAACUGAUGCGUCUGACACUUUCCCCACAAAAGGAAUUGAACUGGAAAUAGAGGGAAAUAAAUUCAGAGACUUAAAAAGAGCAGCAUGGGGUCUUCUGAAGAUGCCCUUGGAACAGCAAAGAGUGCAGGGCAAGAAGUGAUGUGUUUUAAGGCUCAGAAUCAGGCGUAGUCAAUGGGUAGACUUGGGGCCAAAUAUGGCCCACCAGAUGCUUUUGAAUGGACCCCCAAAUCUUUUUAUCUACUUAUUGUUAUCUUUAUUGUUAUUUUUUUAAUUAUUAUUUUCUCUGGAAUCUGGACCUUGACUAGACCUUGCUCAAGAAAUUUGGACUUUG